CCCCAUUCUGGCCGGGGAGGACAUGGUUUCCGCUGCUGCACAGGCUCUGUUGCAGCUUGCCGAUGCGUCUCCCUUGCAGGGGGGACCUGUUAUCACAGAUGGGGGGUCGGGUAUUACACCCCGAUCCCGAUCGCUUACAGCUCUGGGUCUGGCCGCUGCACGGCCGGGCGUAGAUUUUUCUGUGUUUGGCGGUGGUGUGGGCCACACGAUUUGCAAUGCACGGGCGCCGUCCACACGCAUGUUGUAUGCUAAUAGGUGGAAACUGUUUGCCAAGUGGUGCGGUGACCGUGGGCUGGACCCUGUAUGCUGUCCUGUCCCUUCGGUUCUACAGUUUCUGCAGGACCUCCUCGACAAGGGGCGGUCUCCUUCUACUCUGGGGGUAUAUGUGGCGGCUAUUUCGUGUUGGCAUGUUGGGGUGGAUGGUGCUACUGUCGGUGUCAAUAAGACGGUCUCCCUGUUUCUGAGGGGUGCCCGGAGACUGCAUCCCCCCAGACGCCACGUGGUGCCUUCAUGGGACUUGGCUGUGGUGCUCGAGGCCCUGGGGUCUCCGCCUUUUGAGCCAUUGGCAGAGGUGAGCCUUAAAUGGUUGUCCAUGAAGACUGCGUUCCUCUUGGCGAUGGUCUCGGCUAAGCGCGUGGGGGAGUUGCAGGCGUUCUCUGUUGAGGACCUCUGCUGCCAGUGGAACCCAGAUGGUUCAGGGGUUACUCUCUGGCCUAAUCCAUCUUUUAUCCCCAAGGUUCCCUCUGCGACCCCGGUCGGCCCCUUACGUCUUGCUCGUUUUGACUCGGGCUCUGGCUCUGAGCAUCUCUGCCCGGUCCGUUCGCUGGCCGCUUACCUGCGUGCGACCGCGGCACUACGCAAGUCGGGUCAACUGUUUGUGUGCUUUGGGGGACCCCGUGUGGGCCUUCCACUGUCGAAGCAGCGUCUGUCACACUGGGUUGUUGGUGUCAUUGCUGAGGCUUACGCCAGGUGUGGUCGGCAGCUGCCCACAGGUGUGAGGUGCCAUUCCACCAGGAGCAUCUCCACUUCCUGGGCUGCACAGGCGGGGGUUCCACUGGAGACUAUAUGUGAAGCAGCGUCGUGGACGUCUUCAAACACCUUCGCCAGGUUCUACAAGGUGAACGUGGCCGCUCCACAUCCGUUGGAGGGCGUCCUCCGUCAACGCCGCUCUUGAGCGAGGUGAGUGACUUUUGGUUCCGGGGAUUCCUCGGGACCUUGUUGAUAUUAGUCAUUCAGUGCUUGAAGCACCGCCUCUGGCGGUCAGAAGGGAUGAAAUAGAACGUAAGUUACGUAUGUAACUAUGGUUCUAUGAAUCCCGAAUGACCGCCAGAGCGUUCAGUCCCUCGGAAUCUUCUGUGG
rnacentral:lncRNA from 1 species